UAUUCCAACCCAUGCUGAAUGACUUUUAUGUGCAAUAUGCCGUGGAACUAAUAAUUAAACGGACAAGGAGUGUAUCACCCUUGCUUACGCGACAAUGCAUGGAUGGCUCCUGAAGUUAUAUAUAAUGAGCCGGCAGAUGCGAAAAUUCUUUGCCGUUGUUCGUGGACGAACGACUUGAAAUGCCUGAAGAUAUUGACAUCCAAUGGGAAUCUAUCAUCAAGACUUGCUUGCACAGGUGCGUAUUCUGUGGAAUGCUGCUAUAUGAACCCAUGUAACAUAAAAUCGUAGGGAAAUUUCAUACUGUUCAAUUUUCUACUUUGUUUUCCUUUGAUGAAAACUUAGGGACACAAAAUGCAAAUACAUAAGAAAAAAGAUUGGGAAAACAAGCACAGUCUACUGACAUUAGAAGAUGAGCCAUAGACAAGUAUCAAAAACAAAUAUGUAUUUUUUGUCUCUCCGCAAUUUUGUUGGUAUGAAGGUUGAAAGGGUAUGUUCUUUCUGCUUGAUGUAUGUCAAUCUAAUUAACAGUUAUAAAAAUUAAUAUUUUAUUCUCAGGA